GUGCCAGCCGCCGCGGUAAAACGUAGGACGCAAACGUUAUCCGGAAUUACUGGGCGUAAAGAGCGUGUAGGCGGUUUGGUAAGUCAACCGUGAAAGCUCCCGGCUAAACUGGGAGAGGUCGGCUGAGACUGUCAGACUAGAGGGUGUUAGAGGGAUGCGGAAUUCCGGGUGUAGUGGUGAAAUGCGUAGAGAUCCGGAGGAACACCAGAGGCGAAGGCGGCAUCCUGGGACAUUACUGACGCUGAGACGCGAAAGCAUGGGGAGCGAACGGGAUUAGAAACCCCGGUAGUCC
rnacentral:rRNA from 1 species